rnacentral:tRNA from 1 species
GCGGGUGUAGUUCAAUGGUAGAACUGCAGCUUCCCAAGCUGAACGCGUGGGUUCGAUUCCCAUCACCCGCUCCA